CUACGGAGGGUGCAAGCGUUAUCCGGAAUCAUUGGGUUUAAAGGGUCCGCAGGCGGAUUAAUAAGUCAGUGGUGAAAUCCUCUCGCUCAACGAGAGAACUGCCACUGAAACUGUUAGUCUUGAAUUCGGUCGAAGUAGGCGGAAUGUGUCAUGUAGCGGUGAAAUGCAUAGAUAUGACACAGAACACCGAUAGCGAAGGCAGCUUACUAGACCUGGAUUGACGCUCAUGGACGAAAGCGUGGGGAGCGAACAGGAUUAGAAACCCCAGUAGUCC
rnacentral:rRNA from 1 species